rnacentral:lncRNA from 9 species
CCCGAGUACCCGAGGCGGAAGGUGUCCGGCAUCAGUGCUCAGAAAGUUGUUCCACCUUCCACCAAGAUGCUGGAUGAGGAGGACACUGACAAAGACGGGAUGAGUUUGGAGGUCGACACUCCAGUGACGAACCAUCGGGGUGACGACGACGAUGACGAAGAAGAUCUCCCCGAGAUAGUGCUGGAUGACGUGCCUGCGGUGAGGGUGGCGGGACGGCCUCCAUUCGCUCCGCGGGUGGCCUUCAUGGUGAACAAAACACAUGACCCCGAGUACCCGAGGCGGAAGGUGUCCGGCAUCAGUGCUCAGAAAGUUGUUCCACCUUCCACCAAGAUGCUGGAUGAGGAGGACACUGACAAAGACGGGAUGAGUUUGGAGGUCGACACUCCAGUGACGAACCAUCGGGGUGACGACGACGAUGACGAAGAAGAUCUCCCCGAGAUAGUGCUGGAUGACGUGCCUGCGGUGAGGGUGGCGGGACGGCCUCCAUUCGCUCCGCGGGUAAGUUGGGUUUUUAGUCUGAGCUCGCAGUGUUGCUCUAUUUCCCCUCCGUGGACAUUAAGUUAUGACAGCCUGAGCCUGCACGUUCCAGACCAUGUGGACGGUUCCGAGGGUUGGGACUCCAUGUCAGGCGCGUCUGUUGCCAACUCCCGAUGCCUGCUUCCGCAGGGCAAUGCGAUAACAACACCUGUCCCAGCCUGCAGAGGACAGAGCUCCUUCUCCAGAAGCAUCUUUUUCCUCGAGGGAAAGAGUUCUGUCAUCUCCAACUGA